rnacentral:rRNA from 1 species
CCUACGGGGGGCAGCAGUGGGGAAUAUUGGACAAUGGGGGCAACCCUGAUCCAGCCAUGCCGCGUGUGUGAAGAAGGCCCUCGGGUUGUAAAGCACUUUCAGUGAGGAAGAACGCCUGGUGGUUAAUACCCAUCAGGAAAGACAUCACUCACAGAAGAAGCACCGGCUAACUCCGUGCCAGCAGCCGCGGUAAUACGGAGGGUGCGAGCGUUAAUCGGAAUUACUGGGCGUAAAGCGCGCGUAGGUGGCUUGAUAAGCCGGUUGUGAAAGCCCCGGGCUCAACCUGGGAACGGCAUCCGGAACUGUCAAGCUAGAGUGCAGGAGAGGAAGGUAGAAUUCCCGGUGGAGCGGUGAAAUGCGUAGAGAUCGGGAGGAAUACCAGUGGCGAAGGCGGCCUUCUGGACUGACACUGACACUGAGGUGCGAAAGCGUGGGUAGCAAACAGGAUUAGAUACACUUGUAGUC